rnacentral:lncRNA from 1 species
GUUUAUGUCUACAGAGUUUUAAUUUUCUUGAUUUCAAUGGCAUAAAUGUUUGCAAGCUUUUAUUUUGUGCCUUUUUGUAAAUAAUAUUAAGUAGGUGGUCUAGUUGUAGUGUGUUCAGGCCAGGUCAAACCAAAAUCGUUAACAAUUGGUAUUUCCUGCUUCUCUGUUCAGCAUGAGUAAUAGUGAAGACAACUGUCACAGGUUUUGGUCAUCUCACAGUCAGAAUAAGGAGGCAGGGUUAGGUGAAGCAUUUUUCAGCGAGCUGUGUUACAUUGUGAACUGGCACAUUAAAAAUCUGAUUUAGCCUAUCUAUCUACAGUCUUCUUUUCUAUGAAACGAUUUAUGACUUUUGAACAGAAGUAUAAUACUGUUGCCUUUAUUUAGUCCCUUUUCACAGAACACAUUUUUUUAGGAGAAGCAAAACAGGAAAAAGUUGGUAUGUAUCAAAUUAUGUGCUAACAAAGCAAAAUAGUGUGAACCGCUCCAUGAGACCUUGACUAAACAAUACUUGUAAAAGAUUUUAGUCCUAAAGUGCUCCGGUUAACAUUGACACAUUUUGUACUAAAACAUGUAUAUUUAAUAAAUAGUAAUGAUAAACCUACAAUGUAAUAACAAGUGUACUGUAAUAAACAAG